rnacentral:rRNA from 1 species
UACACUCCUGCGGGAGGCAGCAGUGGGGAAUUUUGGACAAUGGGCGAAAGCCUGAUCCAGCAAUGCCGCGUGAGUGAAGAAGGCCUUCGGGUUGUAAAGCUCUUUUGUCAGGGAAGAAACGGUGAAAGCUAAUAUCUUUUGCUAAUGACGGUACCUGAAGAAUAAGCACCGGCUAACUACGUGCCAGCAGCCGCGGUAAUACGUAGGGUGCAAGCGUUAAUCGGAAUUACUGGGCGUAAAGCGUGCGCAGGCGGUUUUGUAAGUCUGAUGUGAAAUCCCCGGGCUCAACCUGGGAAUUGCAUUGGAGACUGCAAGGCUAGAAUCUGGCAGAGGGGGGUAGAAUUCCACGUGUAGCAGUGAAAUGCGUAGAUAUGUGGAGGAACACCGAUGGCGAAGGCAGCCCCCUGGGUCAAGAUUGACGCUCAUGCACGAAAGCGUGGGGAGCAAACAGGAUUAGAUACCCUAGUAGUCCC